AGCUUAUCUCUAUUUUGUAUUGUUUUUUAAUAUUAAAUUUGCACAUUUAUAAGUGUGGUCGUCUAGCCCGUAAUCCCCAGACAUCCUAACACAUUCGUCUGUUCUCCGACGAUGUAGUUGUUGAUGCUAACCGCCCAUUAGUAGGAGCAUCUCGGCUAAACGAGUAGUCAUCCCGCAAUUGAAUUGAUUUAUAAUGUUCCAACUGUCACUAUUGUUGAUCGUAUUAUUGCAAUACGUCUUUGUCGAGUAUGAUAAAAGUAUCGAAAAAUGACAUCUCUAUAGUACUGUCCAAUUGAAAUUUCCUUUUAGAAACAUUGCUGUCAUUAAAAAUUAGAGCAAAAUUUUUGGUAGAAAAGAAGUGUAGGGGAAAAAAUAUUG